rnacentral:rRNA from 1 species
UGCUUAUCGGGAGUCAGACUAUACGAGAUAAGUUGGAUAGUCAAAAGGGAAAGAGCCCAGACCUCCAGCUAAGGUCCCAAAGUACGUGUUAAGUGGAAAAGGAUGUGGGAUUUCAAAGACAACCAGGAUGUUGGCUCAGAAGCAGCCACACAUUCAAAGAGUGCGUAAUAGCUCACUGGUCGAGAGGUCCUGCGCCGAAAAUGUCCGGGGCUGAAGCACGACACCGAAGCUGAGGAAUGUCUAGAGACAUUGGUAGAGGAGCAUUGGAUACGCAACGAAGCAGUACCGUAAGGAGCUGUGGAGUGUAUCGAAGAGAGAAUGCCGGAAUGAGUAGCGAGAGAGAGGUGGGAAUCCUCUCGGCCGAAUAUCUAAGGUUUCCAGGGUAAAGCUGAUCUGCCCUGGGUAAGUCGGGGCCUAAGGCGAGGACGAGAGUCGUAGCCGAUGGACAACAGGUUGAGAUUCCUGUACUGCAGUAAGACAGAACUGUGGGGACACGUGUGGAGAGCAUAGGCGCGGAAUGGAAAGCCGCGUGCAAGCGAGGUAGGAGUCCUGUAGGAAAAACCGCAGGGCAAUCCGAAGGCGUGAUGCGGACCGAAAUCUAGUAGGGAAGUAUGUGAGCCAUGCGUCAAGAAAAGCCGCUAUUGUUCUUAUUGUACCCGUACCGUAAACCGACACAGGUGGAUGAGGAGAGAAUCCUAAGGCCGACGGAAGAAGCAUUGUUAAGGAACUCGGCAAAAUGACCCCGUAACUUCGGGAGAAGGGGUGCCACAGAAAUGUGGCCGCAGAGAAUAGGCUCAAGCAACUGUUUAGCAAAAACACAGGUCUAUGCAAAACCGAAAGGUGAGGUAUAUGGGCUGACGCCUGCCCGGUGCUGGAAGGUUAAGAGGAGAGGUUAGCGCAAGCGAAGCUUUGAAUUGAAGCCCCAGUAAACGGCGGCCGUAACUAUAACGGUCCUAAGGUAGCGAAAUUCCUUGUCGGGUAAGUUCCGACCCGCACGAAAGGCGUAAUGAUUUGAGCGCUGUCUCGACAAUGCAUCCGGUGAAAUUGAAGUACCAGUGAAGAUGCUGGUUACCUGCGCCAGGACGGAAAGACCCCAUGGAGCUUUACUCCAGCUUGAUACUGGGAUUCGGUAUUGCAUGUACAGGAUAGGUGGGAGGCUGAGAAUCGGUAACGCCAGUUGCCGAGGAGCCGUUGUUGGGAUACCACCCUUGCAGUACUGGGUUUCUAACCAGCAGCCGUGACCCGGCUGGGGGACAAUGUCAGGUGGGGAGUUUGACUGGGGCGGUCGCCUCCGAAAGGGUAUCGGAGGCGCUCAAAGGUUCCCUCAGAAUGGUUGGAAACCAUUCGAAGAGUGCAAAGGCAGAAGGGAGCUUGACUGCGACACCGACGGGUGGAGCAGGUACGAAAGUAGGACUUAGUGAUCCGGUGGUAUUAAGUGGGAAUGCCAUCGCUCAACGGAUAAAAGCUACCCUGGGGAUAACAGGCUUAUCACUCCCAAGAGUUCACAUCGACGGAGUGGUUUGGCACCUCGAUGUCGGCUCAUCGCAUCCUGGGGCUGUAGUAGGUCCCAAGGGUUGGGCUGUUCGCCCAUUAAAGCGGUACGCGAGCUGGGUUCAGA